rnacentral:rRNA from 1 species
AACGUAGGGGGCGAGCGUUGCCCGGAUUCACUGGGCGUAAAGCGCGUGUAGGCGGUCCGUUAAGUCGGAUGUGAAAUCUCUGGGCUCAACCCAGAAAUCGCAUCCGAUACUGGCGGACUUGAGGAUGGUAGAGGUUGGUGGAAUUCCCGGUGUACCGGUGAAAUGGACAGAUAUCGGGAGGAACACCAGUGGCGAAGGCGGCCAACUGGGCCAUUCCCGACGCUGAGACGCGAAAGCCAGGGGAGCGAACCGG